rnacentral:rRNA from 1 species
GAUGAACGCUGGCGGCGUGCCUAAUACAUGCAAGUCGAGCGAACAGACGAGGAGCUUGCUCCUCUGACGUUAGCGGCGGACGGGUGAGUAACACGUGGAUAACCUACCUAUAAGACUGGGAUAACUUCGGGAAACCGGAGCUAAUACCGGAUAAUAUAUUGAACCGCAUGGUUCAAUAGUGAAAGACGGUUUUGCUGUCACUUAUAGAUGGAUCCGCGCCGCAUUAGCUAGUUGGUAAGGUAACGGCUUACCAAGGCGACGAUGCGUAGCUGACCUGAGAGAGUGAUCGGCCACACUGGAACUGAGACACGGUCCAGACUCCUACGGGAGGCAGCAGUAGGGAAUCUUCCGCAAUGGGCGAAAGCCUGACGGAGCAACGCCGCGUGAGUGAUGAAGGUCUUCGGAUCGUAAAACUCUGUUAUUAGGGAAGAACAAAUGUGUAAGUAACUAUACACGUCUUGACGGUACCUAAUCAGAAAGCCACGGCUAACUACGUG